AAUUCUGAAAGGUAAGAAAGAUGAAACAAGAAUUAAAUACACAUUUAUAUAAAAUUAUUUCCACAAAAUAGUUUCCCAUUUUUAUUGUGGAGGAAGUUGAGCUGUUAUGACCUAUGGUUAAUAUGCCAUAAGUGAAAACUAUAAAUCUGUCAUUACUUUCUGGUUAUAAAAGUUUGAACAAAUCAUUUUUUCAGUUUAAGCCUCAAAUCCAUCAAGACAAGAUUCUAAGACAUAAUAGCUAGGUGGAAGAGGGUAUAAGGGAGAUAAAUGGUAAUGUUACAAAUAUUCAAUAAAAAAUAAAAGGACAUAAUAGCUAAGUAAAAGGAAUUUAAAUAAAACACUUCAGAAGGAUCAUAGAUAUUUUUAAUAAAUUUUAUUUAGUAAGCAUACAAUCUAUUAUUUGUAACACAUUAACUGAAAAUAAAAAUUUGGUUUAUUAGAGUUUCUGACCAACACAGUAUUUUAAAAUAUUUUCCAAUUAAACCUGCAAUCCUGAACCCCUUCCUAUUUGGAUUACUCUAGCAACCUGAAUGCUAUAUGUUUGAUUUCAGUUUUUGUUUUACAAAUAAAGUGGCAAUAAACAUGACAGAAAAAUCUUUUUAUACAUCUGUGAAUAUAUCCUUAAAUUUCUAGAUGUGGAAAAUCUAGGUCAAAGAAUAUUUAUAACAUAAGGUUGUUUAUAGAGACUAUAAUAGUAUCUUCCAGAGAGGCAUGUUUAACUUUCCUUUUAUCUCUGUUAAAUUUCAUAGGCACAGAAUGAUAUUCUAGUUUGGAUUUAUUCAAAAUCUGAAUGAAGAUGGAAUUCUGUUCUUAUAUUUAUUAGCCAUCUGAGUGUCUACUUGUGCAGGUUCAUAUCUUUGCCCUUUUCAAAUUGGAUCUUAUUUAUUUGCACAGGAAACUGCAACUGCAAAAGUGGAAGCAUGUUUGGCACAACCAAGAGGCCAGAGGAGCACCAGCGGAGUGAACAAGAGCAAGGGUCAAUGCCAAAAACCAGAAAGCUGCUGGGGAGGAGGGGCUUGUAAGACAUUAUGACAACUUUUGCUUUUGCUCUUACAGGGUUUGGAGUAGAGUGACGAUAUCUGUAUUUUGAAAGGAUUAGUAUGUGUGAAGGGGCAACAGUUGCAGAGGCUACUGAAGUAUAAUCCCGAUGAGAGAAGGUGGCUUGAACCACCUCUAUGUAGUAAGAACUGAACUAUAGGUAGUAGAACUGAAGGUAGUAAUUAGUAGAUUCUGAAUAUAUUUUAAAGAUAGAAUCAGCAGCACUUGCUGAUGGAUUGGAUAUAGAAUUUUUCUUUAUUUUUAACAUGUACUAUAAAUAUCAGUUAAAUGUACCUCCCUUUUGAUUUAGUGAUUGUGUUUCUAGGAAUUUAUCUAAAUCAUAUACUUGUGUGUAUGCAUAAAAAAUGUGAUAUAUGUGUAUCAUAUCAAAAUACGAUAUACAUUUCUGCUUCAAAAGAAUGGGGCAGCUCUAUUAAUACUCAUGGAUUGUAAAAUACUUGACUAAAAAGCCCAUGUAUGCUAUGCCACCAUUUGUGUUUUUUAAAACAAGUUUGCAUCAGCACAGAAUAUCCCUGGAGGGACGUAAGAACUGGUAACAGGGACAGCCUUGGGGAAAGGGAAUGGGAGACUAGAGGGAAUGGGAGGAAAGGAGACUUAACUUUACAAUGUACCACCCUAAGUGGACUAUAUUUGUAGCAAAAUGAACAUUUUUUUCUAUUAAAAAUUAAAACUAAUAAAAGUCAUACUUCAAAAAUUCAGUCUAUAUACAAAGGCAUAAGAUAGAAAACUCUGUAAAAUCACCAAUUAAAAUAAUCAUUAAAA